rnacentral:rRNA from 1 species
GAUGAACGCUAGCGGGAGGCCUAACACAUGCAAGUCGAACGGGAUUGAGAGCUUGCUCUCAUGAGAGUGGCGCACGGGUGAGUAACGCGUAUGCAACCUGCCUGUAACAGAUGGAUAGCCCAUAGAAAUGUGGAUUAAUACAUCAUAGUUCUAUUGAAUCGCAUGGUUUAAUAGAUAAAGCUCCGGCGGUUACAGAUGGGCAUGCGUGACAUUAGCUAGUUGGUGAGGUAACGGCUCACCAAGGCGACGAUGUCUAGGGGUUCUGAGAGGAUGAUCCCCCACACUGGUACUGAGACACGGACCAGACUCCUACGGGAGGCAGCAGUGAGGAAUAUUGGUCAAUGGGCGCAAGCCUGAACCAGCCAUCCCGCGUGCAGGAUGACGGCCCUAUGGGUUGUAAACUGCUUUUAUACAGGAAGAAAAAUCUCUACGUGUAGGGACUUGCCGGUACUGUAUGAAUAAGCAUCGGCUAACUCCGUGCCAGCAGCCGCGGUAAUACG